UUCUACCCCUCGUGGUAGCGUUUUUAAAGAAUAAAGGUUUCCGUGUAGGAAACAAUUUUCAAAAAGAUUUUCUGUGGAUUUAUGUUUAAAUAUUGAAUGUAUAAAUGUGAUGUUAAUGGUGAAUGAAUGAAUGUAUAGUCGUUUCUAUAUUCAUUUGGUUGUGGUUGUACCUGGAUUACUCCUUGUACUUGUGCGACACCGUGCAAAUACAGGGGAGACUCUGUCCGCGUGAACAGUGGAUUUCCUGUAUUUGUGGCGGAUCUGGCAUUCCCUGGGGUUAGGUUUUCAAAAAAAAAAAAAAAAAUAUUUUCGUGGUGUUUUUAACCUAAAGGGACCCCGGGGCGUGACAAUAUAUAUAUAUGAGUCCGACUACUAUACUCUUAUGAGUACCAUUGCCCUCGUACUCAUAAGUUGUUUUCGAUGAUAGAGCUUCUGAGUCGGCGAUCCAUACCGUUAGACAUUAUCUCGAGCAUUUAAAACUUGUAGAAAUCAAAUUUUAUAAUUUUUCGACAUCAUUUACCUUACGAUCAAAAGGUUACAAAAUUGACAACUUUUAACGGUCGGUAUGGGUUACUUGCUAGUUUAACGGUGUAAAAGAAUCGGAAUCAGUUGAAUUUUUGAUAGAAAAUUUUAUUCACUACCUAAAUAAAGGUCAAUAACUCCGAUCUUAAAUUGAAAGAUCCGAUCAUCCAUUUUGAGGACGUCGUUUGAUUUUGACCGUUCAUUUUAUACCCGCUUGACGGUGUGGAUCAUCGAUUCGGAAGCUCUAUCAUCGAAAACAACUUAUGAGUACGAGGGCGAUCGUACUCAUAAAAGUAUUGUAGCCCA
rnacentral:lncRNA from 1 species